AGGGAGUUGAUUAGUGAGAAUAAAAAAAGAGAUGAGAGUGAACAAAGAGAGGAAAAGAAAAAAAAUGAGGAGGAAAUAUUGGAGGAAAAUAUUGAUGGUGAAGUGGGGGAGUGGAGUGAGGAGGAAGAAGAAAAGAACGAAAAGAAUGGUAAAGUUGAAAAGAAAGAAAGUGUGGAAAUUGAGAAAAAUUCGAGUGAUGAAGUAAUGGUGGAGGAAGUGAAAAAGAAAAGAGCGAGAAGUUCUAGAGUUGAUAAAGGAAAGGAGGUAGUGAGCG
rnacentral:lncRNA from 1 species